GAACCAUCACAAAUCUUCAAAUUCAAAUGAAGACCAACUGGAGGACAGAAUAAUAGAAGGAACGGCAAACUCUGACAAGCAUCAUCGAUUACAAGUACAUGGAACAGACAUUAAAACUCCUAUAUGCAUGAAGCAUGAAGCAGACCAUGCAUGAGAAGGCAAGGUGUUUUGUUCCUCUAGCAAGGUUUACAAGUCGUAAAUAUGACCAGCAGGAAAAGUGCGCUAAACUUUUGUUGUACAAGAAAAAGCUAGAAGGACUUUAUCAAAACCAUUCAAUAGAAAAGAAGAAUCAGAUAGCCACGGAAGAUGUACUGUUUCGUAUUCUUCAAAUUCAAGAGAUUGGAAGUGUAGAACAUUAUUAUCUUAAUGGCUCACUCGUUAAAAUACAUGUUUUGGAGGACACGGAUAUUUAACAGGAUCAGUGGCCAUCAGGGAAUUCCUGACCAAGGAGCAAGAUUUUAUGAACCGACUUAAGAUGACUACACGUCUAAAUGUGGCAUCUAAAAAUUAUCUAGAGCUAAAAAAGGAAAAAAAUUGGAGGCAUCAAUUUCGAUAUCUUGAUACCAGUUCAUGAUAUUUACCCCCGCAAUACCAAUAUCUUAACAUUGAAUACACUAAGCUAUAUCUUCAAUGUAACAGAAAUAAAAAUAUUUUUAUUUGAA